UGGGGAAUAUUGGACAAUGGGCGCAAGCCUGAUCCAGCCAUGCCGCGUGAGUGAUGAAGGCCCUAGGGUUGUAAAGCUCUUUCACCGGUGAAGAUAAUGACGGUAACCGGAGAAGAAGCCCCGGCUAACUUCGUGCCAGCAGCCGCGGUAAUACGAAGGGGGCUAGCGUUGUUCGGAUUUACUGGGCGUAAUGCGCACGUAGGCGGACUUUUAAGUCAGGGGUGAAAUCCCGGGGCUCAACCCCGGAACUGCCUUUGAUACUGGAAGUCUUGAGUAGGGUAGAGGUGAGUGGAAUUCCGAGUGUAGAGGUGAAAUUCGUAGAUAUUCGGAGGAACACGAGUGGCGAAGGCGGCGCACUGGACCAUUACUGACGCUGAGGUGCGAAAGCGUGGGGAGCAAACAG
rnacentral:rRNA from 1 species